rnacentral:rRNA from 1 species
AUUGGAGGGCAAGUCUGGUGCCAGCAGCCGCGGUAAUUCCAGCUCCAAUAGCGUAUAUUAAAGUUGUUGCGGUUAAAAAGCUCGUAGUUGGAUUUCAGUCCAUGCUAUGUGGUCCACUUGCCGGUGGCUACUGCAUAGCUGGACAUUUUACAGACCUGUCUUGCGAUGCUCUUCAUCGGGUGUCGUGAGCGAUCUGUACGUUUACUUUGAAAAAAUUAGAGUGCUUAAAGCAGGCAAAUUGCCAGAAUAAUCUUGCAUGGAAUAAUGGAAUAGGACCUCGGUUCUAUUUUGUUGGUCUUCGGAAUCUGAGGUAAUGAUUAAGAGGGACAGACGGGGGCAUUCGUAUUGCGGCGCUAGAGGUGAAAUUCUUGGACCGUCGCAAGACGAACUACAGCGAAAGCAUUUGCCAAGAAUGUUUUCAUUAAUCAAGAACGAAAGUUAGAGGUUCGAAGGCGAUCAGAUACCGCCCUAGUUCUAACCUAAAACGAUGCCAA